CGGAGGGCAGUUGACAUUUGCUGAGCACCAACGACACAAGCCAGGCAGGCAGGACAUGUGGUUGCUUUCAGCUCUGCUCCUUCUCAUCAUCCAAGGCCAUUUCUCCACCUGCCAGGAGGAAGCGGAGAGAGGCACACACAGGGGCACACUGACCAGAUCCAUGACCAUGCAGUGUCACUACGGCCCAAGGUGGGAGACCUACGUGAAGUCCUGGUGUCAAGAUGCUGAUUCGAAUGGCUGCAUCAUCUUUGUUAGAAAACAUGGAUCACAGCCGAAGAGGAACCUUCUGUUCAUCAGUCAGAAAAAGCGCACAUUCUCCAUGUUCAUGUUGGGGAAGUAAAGCAACUUUUGAGAAAAAUGAGCUAUUGUUUUUCUGAGUUGCUCCCAGGCCUUUUACAGGAUGGCAGCCCUUCUCACACCCCUAUUCUGGAAAUUUAGAUAAGGACCCAAGCUUAGAGUUCUUGCAUAAGUUCCUUCUUUGUUUUUUCUG